rnacentral:rRNA from 1 species
ACUCCUACGGGAGGCAGCAGUGGGGAAUAUUGCACAAUGGGCGCAAGCCUGAUGCAGCCAUGCCGCGUGGUAUGAAGAAGGCCUUCGGGUUGUAAAGUACUUUCAGCAGUGAGGAAGGUGGGUAUGUUAAUAGCAUAUUCAUUUGACGUUAGCUGCAGAAGAAGCACCGGCUAACUACGUGCCAGCAGCCGCGGUAAUACGUAGGGUGCGAGCGUUGUCCGGAAUUACUGGGCGUAAAGGGCUCGUAGGUGGUUUGUCGCGUCGUCUGUGAAAUUCCGGGGCUUAACUCCGGGCGUGCAGGCGAUACGGGCAUAACUUGAGUACUGUAGGGGUAACUGGAAUUCCUGGUGUAGCGGUGAAAUGCGCAGAUAUCAGGAGGAACACCGAUGGCGAAGGCAGGUUACUGGGCAGUUACUGACGCUGAGGAGCGAAAGCAUGGGUAGCGAACAGGAUUAGAUACCCUGGUAGGAUAGCGU